rnacentral:ncRNA from 1 species
GAAGUAGAGGCGCGCAUUUUAGGCGUACCGGCGGAAAGGGGGCGAACACCCAUUGGAUCUGUCGGGAAGGGAAAAUGCGCCGAAGGGAAAUGAGGCGUUCGCAGCUUGUUUUCCUGGAUGCAGCGAGGAGCGGCGCUGUAUCUGUCACGAUUGGUUCGUGGAGCGCUGUUC